rnacentral:rRNA from 1 species
UUUAUGGAGAGUUUGAUCCUGGCUCAGAGUGAACGCUGGCGGCGUGCCUAAUACAUGCAAGUCGAACGAUGAAGCUUCUAGCUUGCUAGAAGUGGAUUAGUGGCGCACGGGUGAGUAAGGUAUAGUUAAUCUGCCCUACACAAGAGGACAACAGUUGGAAACGACUGCUAAUACUCUAUACUCCUGCUUAACACAAGUUGAGUAGGGAAAGUUUUUCGGUGUAGG